AGAGUAGCUUGCUACUUUGCUGACGAGCGGCGGACGGGUGAGUAAUGCUUGGGAAUAUGCCUUAUGGUGGGGGACAACAGUUGGAAACGACUGCUAAUACCGCAUGAUGUCUACGGACCAAAGUGGGGGACCUUCGGGCCUCACGCCAUAAGAUUAGCCCAAGUGGGAUUAGCUAGUUGGUGAGGUAAUGGCUCACCAAGGCGACGAUCCCUAGCUGGUUUGAGAGGAUGAUCAGCCACACUGGGACUGAGACACGGCCCAGACUCCUACGGGAGGCAGCAGUGGGGAAUAUUGCACAAUGGGCGCAAGCCUGAUGCAGCCAUGCCGCGUGUGUGAAGAAGGCCUUCGGGUUGUAAAGCACUUUCAGUAAGGAGGAAAGGUUAAGUGUUAAUAGCACUUAGCUGUGACGUUACUUACAGAAGAAGCACCGGCUAACUCCGUGCCAGCAGCCGCGGUAAUACGGAGGGUGCGAGCGUUAAUCGGAAUUACUGGGCGUAAAGCGUACGCAGGCGGUUUGUUAAGCGAGAUGUGAAAGCCCCGGGCUCAACCUGGGAACUGCAUUUCGAACUGGCAAACUAGAGUGUGAUAGAGGGUGGUAGAAUUUCAGGUGUAGCGGUGAAAUGCGUAGAGAUCUGAAGGAAUACCGAUGGCGAAGGCAGCCACCUGGGUCAACACUGACGCUCAUGUACGAAAGCGUGGGG
rnacentral:rRNA from 1 species